UACGUAGGGGGGCAAGCGUUGUCCGGAUUUAUUGGGCGUAAAGAGCGUGUAGGCGGCCAUACAGGUCAGCUGUGAAAACUCGAGGCUCAACCUCGAGACGUCGGUUGAAACCGUAUGGCUAGAGUCCGGAAGGGGAGAGUGGAAUUCCCGGUGUAGCGGUGAAAUGCGCAGAUAUCGGGAAGAACACCUAUGGCGAAGGCAGCUCUCUGGGACGGUACUGACGCUGAGACGCGAAAGCGUGGGGAGCGAACAGG
rnacentral:rRNA from 1 species